rnacentral:rRNA from 1 species
CCCUGCCAUUUGUACACACCGCCCGUCGCUCCUACCGAUUGAAUGGUCCGGUGAAAUCUUCGGAUUGCUGGCCAUUUGCCGCAAGGUGAGUGGUUGCGAGAAGUUGAUUGAACCUUAUCAUUUAGAGG